GUUUAGCCCCGAUUGUAGCCGAUAUCCUUUGUGAGGUACGAACAAAGAUAAAGGCGAAAAGCGGGAAAAUGG
rnacentral:sRNA from 26 species